UACAGAGGGGGCAAGCGUUGUUCGGAAUUACUGGGCGUAAAGGGCGCGUAGGCGGCCGCCUAAGUCAGACGUGAAAUCCCUCGGCUCAACCGGGGAACUGCGUCUGAUACUGGGUGGCUUGAAUCCGGGAGAGGGAUGCGGAAUUCCAGGUGUAGCGGUGAAAUGCGUAGAUAUCUGGAGGAACACCGGUGGCGAAGGCGGCAUCCUGGACCGACACUGACGCUGAGGAGCGAAAGCCAGGGGAGCAAACGGG
rnacentral:rRNA from 1 species